rnacentral:lncRNA from 1 species
UAAUAUAUACCUAUUUCAACACAGUUUCUCCACUUUUUAACUAUUUGCAUUAGGAUGAUAAGCAAAAAAUUGUACACUAAAAAAAUUCUUCUUGAACUCACAGGUAAGCACAUUGGCUGGGGGAUUUGGGAACACUGGCAAAACCACACAUAAACAAAAACAAAAUUACACACCACACAUGAAUUAUAAAGUAUUUCUAUAUGGUUAAGCAAUAAUAGGCCAAAGAUAUAUUUUCAAUGUGUUAAUAUAUAUUCAAUAAAUUGAUUAGAAAGAAAAAUGCUUUAUGGCUUUCAAAACUAAGUAGCUAAAAAAAAUACAAGAUUUUCAGUUGGAAAUUUUAAGGUGUCUACAAUCACAAUUGUAACUUUGGGGAAGAAGAGAAAGAGAGAGAAAGCAAAGAAAGAAAGAACAGGAAAGGAAGAGCGAGAGAAGGAGAGGA